UCUACAUUCGGAUUCUUACAACUGUAUCACGAUGUGACUGUCGAAAAACAGUGUGUACCUGCACUUCGCUCUCACUACUUAUACAAUAGGAAUGUCAUCCCUAUUGGCCGAAUUUCUCACACGUUUAAUCAGCACGCGAGAGCGCCUAAUCAGAGUGAGCUUCCUUAUCGCUCGCAUCGGCUUCUACAACACGAGCUCGACGUUGUCGCUUCUUGGAAGUGAUCGCUGUACAUGUACGUUUUGCAUAUCAUAUGUGUAAUGUGCAUGCGAAUACUACAUAUAUUCCACAAGAUUAAAUGGAAGCGCCCGUAUCCGGAAAGGUGGGAACACUUCCGCCUAAUAUUAUGGAACGUCGAUUAGCAUCCGUGCGCGGACGUGCACGGCACGGCGCGGGAUACGGAACGGACGAGUGAGGGCAGCCAAGUUGUUUACAGCUCUCGCGGCGCUUCACGAAGGAUGAACGAGGCGAGAGGAAGAAAAAGGCGCGCGGAGCGGCAGAGAUCGGG